CUGUGGACAACUCUAAUUAAAGUUUGACUUUUUUUUUUUAUCUUAAUCACCGGAGCAUUCCUUCUGCCGCUCUGGAAAGCACCCUCCACCACAUUUGGUCGCAGUAUCCUAGAAUCUUUGUGCUCUCGCUGCAGUUCCCUUUGGGUUCCAUAUGUUCCUUAUUCCCAUCCAUGCCUAGCUGGAUUGCUGCCGUAAGUUUAUGAUUAUGAAAUAAAAACUAAAUAAUAAA
rnacentral:lncRNA from 1 species